AUUUGGCCCCGCGGCCCCGUUUUCAAAGCGCAGGUUCCGAUUUCCCGAGAGAUGGCAAAGGCCCUGGCAGGAAGUUUACAGGGUUUAACGUAAACAAGUUCUGGGGGAUUCUUUAAUAAUAAUAAUAGAGAAUUCCGCGUGCGCAGGGCGGGAGGGGGGAGUUGGCCUAAUGCCCCUGUGGGCUCGGCCUGCCGCCGCCGCGGGGCCUCUGACACUGCGCGCCAGGCCAGGUUCCUGAGAGCAGACAGCGCGGGCUGGGAGCGCCGGCAAGGGCGGCCCUCGCGCACCUGGCUGCCAGCCCGCAGGGGGCUCGCACGCAGACCUGCCCUUGCCACCUCAGCGCUCGGGUGCGGGCUGGGGGCGGUGGAGCCACGAAAGGUGGUGCCGAGAGCGGAGCGCAGGACAGCGCAGGAGCCCCGGCGCAUCGCGGCGCGCACAGACCCAGGAUUUGUGAAGAGGUGACCCAAAUUUCAAGACAAUGUUGGAUGCAAACGGAUUUGCCAGCAACUGCAUCACUGUCAAAACCAGCUCUGCCCGUGUCUUCCGAAGAUACCAAGUGAAAUACAUGUAGAUGGGAUUUACAUCUGAAAAACCAAGUGAGAAACUGAAGACCAGAGAGGGUGAGUGGUUUACUCAGUUUGGCACAACUGACCCCAACCUAGCCCUCCAUGAGGACUGAGCGCAUGAGAGAUCCUGAGCCACAGCCGCCCAGCCCUGCUCCUCUCGAAUUUCUGACCUACAGGAACUGCAAGAAGUAAUGAAAGACUGCUGUUUAAAGCCACUGCAUUUUGGCAUGAUUUGUUAUGCAGUCGUAGAUAACCAGAAAACAUCGGAUUUACAUUUUAAGGAAACAGAGAAGCAAAGAAGUUAGCAAGCUUGUUUUGGCAGAAGAAAAAACACAAAAUACCCAACCACAGAUCCUCAAAAAUAUUGCUAAGCACUAAUUUUGCUAACAUGUUAGACAGCCUUCGGAUCUAGGCAAUCUUGUUCCUCAGCUGGAAAGAGUUCCUGCCAGCCAUGUGAUUCCAAAUCCACCCUGGACAUAUGGGGAUAAUGAGAAAAUCAGCUCCGGCCUUCCCUGGCCUUCCAGCCAAGUGAAUGGGGGCAUCCCCUGGUGCUUCAGCCCGGGGCCCACCCAGAGGAUGCUAGCUGGCCUGCAGAGGCCUCAACCAUGCCCUCCUGGACUCAGGUAAGACUGAGGUUUCCAUGCCCUCAAAACAAUUGUUCAGACAAAAACUCACUGCCCAGGUCAAAGUCACAGCACCAGAAAGCCAACCUGAGGAUGAAGACAAAGCUCUUUGUUGGCACAGUCCCCUGAUCAUUCGAGGUCAGCAUCUCCAUCAAAAUGGACCCAAUGCUGAGGCAAGAAGGAGAACAUCACUGUUAAGAAGGUAAUGAGUCACAAAUGCUAUUUCGAUGGUUUUCUUUGAAAGAAAUACACAGAACCAAACCAAUUUUAAUUAAAGAUCUUGUCUUUGUAAUCAGGCAGCCACAAAUGAAGGCAAAACUGCUUUCAUGUGGCAUAAUAUACACAGAGCUGAACUAGUUUUCCCAUAAAAGGGCAGGUUCUUUUCUUCAAAUAAGAAAAGAGUUUGUUCCUAACAAUAUGGGGGAUGCAACAGAAAGCUGUCUUUUGCAAAGUAUAAAAUUGCAGAUCCUCCCGUGGAAGCCAUUUCUUGAUGCUAAACCAAUGCGAACGUUUGCCAAACGCACAUGCGAGCCGGGAUUAUCCUACCCUUUGAGAUUAGACAUGUGAUCCUGAUUUUUAAGUGAAAAACGCAGCCAGAGGCCAAAUAAACAUACCUACAAGUACAUCGAAAGCUCAAAUGGUUGAGAAAUGAUUGUAACACACCCCGGUGUGUAUUUCUGAGGAAGAAUCAACAUGCACAUGGAAAUUGAUGUUUUGAUUUUUAAUUUUAAAACGACGACAGAACUGAAAUACCUCCCCUAACUAGGUCCACUGAAACCAGUGAGGAGAUAAUCAUUUUCAGUUAAAUAUGCAUGUAAUUUAAUAAUCCACAGAUGGAAAAUGCAUUUGAGGUGGACUGAACACAGCCAGGAGUUUUUGCUUAUCGACAGCACUGAAUCCUGCCUUGACUAGAGAGACUCGUCAUGUGAUCAACUGUGGCCAGAGGGCAUCCUGCAGACAGCUCCUGUCACACCACACUGACCAGACUCUUAUGAGUAUUUAAGCAUCUUCAGGGAAGCGAUUGACUGUCUUAUAAUGGUCUUACAAGUACGGAACUUUAUUACCUGCUAAUAAUCAGAGCACAUGAUGGCACAAUAGAAUAUACGAGUGAAGUUCUAAAUGCAAGGUUGUUCUUAUUCUGUGAGUGGCAAAACUCAUGCAGUGAGCAGAUAAAGCUGGCAGGAGGCAUUGGCGCCCUAAUGCUGGGCACUAACCACCUGCCCGGACUGCGAAUAUCUGUUGGGUCCUUUCUAUAUCUGGUCUAUUCUCGUGUUUGAUUAUAUCCUGGUGGCAAGAAUAGCAAAAUCAACUCUCCUUCCUAUCCCAUGUGGAGAGGCAUGAUUUGAGUCAGAGAGCAUUAUCCUCUCUGCGUUAUCCAACCCCAUGUCCCAUGAUGCACUUUGUAGACAAGCAAGUGUCCCUGGUGGAGAAUCCACAGCCACACAUCCUCAUUGGUUGCAAGGAUCAGUGUCCAAUAUCUACUGCCAUGAUCAUUCUCAGUUUUACAUCCACAGAGCUUCAUAGAAUUCUAACACCACAGGUCCAAGUAGAGGUUUUGGCCUCAGAGUGGGCUAGAUUCCACCUCUGACAGCAGCUGUGGGACUGUUUUUCCAUCUGUAAAAUGGAGACAAGAGUAUCACCUACCUCAUGGUGUUGGUGGGAUCGUUAAACAGAAUUCCGAUCAUGAAACCCUUAGCCUGCUCCCUGCAUAGGCUGCAUGCGCUCAGUGAGCUAUGGCUCUGUUUCAUGCUGACUUUACCAUCAUGUAAGCAGUUUUAAAAAUGCUAGAAGCUUUAGUCAUAGAAUUACCAUAUGAUACAGCCUACUGCAGAGUCCAGAGGCUGAGGCAGGAGAGUUACUUGAACCUGGGAGGCGGAGGUUGCAGUGAGCCAAGAUCGCGCCACUGCACUCCAGCCUGGGCAACAGAGUGAGAUUCUGUCUCAACACAAAAAAGAAGACAUGUGUCCCCAUCACAGUAUCAUACAGAGUGCUUCCACUGCCCUAAAAUACCCUGUGCUCUUCCUAUUCAUCCCUCUCUUCAACCCCAGCAACCACUGAUCCUUUUACCAUCUCCAUGGUUUUGCCUUUCCCAGAAUGUCAUAUUGUUGGAAUCAUACGCUAUGUAGCCUUUGCAAAUGGGCUUCUUUCACCGAGCAAUGUGCAUUGAAGGUGCCUCUAUGACUUUUCAAGGGUUGAUAGCUCAUUCCUUUUUAUUGCUAAAUAAUAUUCCAUUGUCUGAAUGUACCACAUUUUGUUUAUCCAUUCACCUACUAAAGGACAUCUUGGUUGCUUCCAAGUUUGGGCAAUUAUAAAUAAAACUGCUAUAAACAUUG
rnacentral:lncRNA from 1 species